rnacentral:rRNA from 1 species
GACGAACGCUGGCGGCGUGCUUAACACAUGCAAGUCGAACGAAGUGGCGAACGGGUGAGUAACGCGUAAUCAACCUGCCCUUCAGAGGGGGACAACAGUUGGAAACGACUGCUAAUACCGCAUACUGAAGGAGGGGAUUGCGUCUGAUUAGCGAGUUGGAGGGGUAACGGCCCACCAAGGCGAUGAUCAGUAGCCGGUCUGGGAGGAUGUACGGCCACAAUGGGAACGAGACACGGGCCCGACUCCCACGGGAGGGAAGAGUGGGGGAUCUUCCGCAAUUGAGGAAAGUCUGGCGGCGCAAAGCCGGGUGGGGGAUGACAGCCUUCGGGUUGUAAAGCUCUGUUAAUCGGGACGCGGUACCGGAAGAGAAAGCCACGGCUAACUACGUGCCAGCAGCCGCGGUAAUUC